rnacentral:rRNA from 1 species
GACGUAGGGGGCGAGCGUUGUCCGGAUUUAUUGGGCGUAAAGCGUGCGUAGGCGGCUGCGCAAGUCGGUUGUGAAACCCCGGGGCUCAACCCCGGAACUGCAUCCGAUACUGCGUGGCUAGAGGUAGGUAGGGGAGAUCGGAAUUCCUGGUGUAGCGGUGAAAUGCGCAGAUAUCAGGAGGAACACCAGUAGCGAAGGCGGCACUCUGGGCCGGUACUGACGCUGAGGAGCGAAAGCGUGGGGAGCAAACAGG